GUCCAGCUGACGAGUCCAAAAUAGGACAAAACGCGCAUCACGGAU
rfam:Schistosoma mansoni strain Puerto Rico chromosome 1, complete genome